rnacentral:lncRNA from 1 species
AUGUCCCAACUGCUAUUCUAACCAUUCCUCUCAUAAGGAGAUUAUUCUGUUACCUGCUAUUUGAAUGCAUUUCUACCUACACUAAAUCCACUUCAUAUCUUGACAAGUCCUCAUGAGGUUCAUCAUUCUAACGAAGAAAAAUGAGUCAAUGAACCAAACUUGUAGUUCAGUAAAUUUCUUCUACAUCUCAAUUUGCUUCACAUUUACUGGGAUUUCCCAUAUUCACCUCUUUCUUAAUCUAACAAGUCGCAACUGAGUUACUAACAUAGAACUUAUCUCAUCACAAUGAAAUGCUGCUGAUAGCAGGAGAGUUGAGUAAAGGUUCACCAAUAUCUUCGCAGAACAAUGACCAUAAGCAAACCUACAAACUUGCACUGGAAAUGAUAAACUGAUAACUGAGGCUAUGAAGGAGGGAAAACAAUUCAUGCAUAUAUGUCUACAUCUAAGUGAAGUCACGUCCUAAUUAAACCAAAAAGGAGGGAAAACAAUUCAUGGCAGGAGAAGGAGAUGCAAAGACUAGCUUCCAAAUGACUUGGCUGCACUAUGCCUUGUUAAAUCAGUAACUAAGCGACCACCUCAAACACAGACAAGGCGUGCAGAUCAUGACAUAAGAAUGAAAAGGCAAUCAAUGCACUUAACGGAUACAAAUUGUCUAAUGCAUUCCCAUUAUAUGUUAUUGCAGCAGAA